rnacentral:rRNA from 1 species
GUGGGGAAUUUUGGACAAUGGGCGCAAGCCUGAUCCAGCCAUUCCGCGUGCAGGAUGAAGGCCUUCGGGUUGUAAACUGCUUUUGUACGGAACGAAAAGCCUCUGGUUAAUACCCGGGGGUCAUGACGGUACCGUAAGAAUAAGCACCGGCUAACUACGUGCCAGCAGCCGCGGUAAUACGUAGGGUGCGAGCGUUAAUCGGAAUUACUGGGCGUAAAGCGUGCGCAGGCGGUGAUGUAAGACAGUUGUGAAAUCCCCGGGCUCAACCUGGGAACUGCAUCUGGGACUGCAUUGCUGGAGUGCGGCAGAGGGGGAUGGAAUUCCGCGUGUAGCAGUGAAAUGCGUAGAUAUGCGGAGGAACACCGAUGGCGAAGGCAAUCCCCUGGGCCUGCACUGACGCUCAUGCACGAAAGCGUGGGGAGCAAACAGGAUUAGAAACCCGGGUAGUCC